rnacentral:lncRNA from 10 species
GAUAUCUAAGGCUAUGCUUCAUAAAACUCCAACAGGUGUGAGCCACCGCGCCCGGCCCAGUUGUGGUAUUUUCAUACUUGGGAAUAUGAUUCAGCCUUAAAAAGGAGCAAAGUCCUGAUCUGUGCUAUGCCAUGGGUGUACCUCGAAAACAUUCCAGCCAGACACAGAAGGUCACCUAUAAAAUGAUCCCAUUUAUAUGAAAUGUCCAGAAUGGGCAAAUAACAGAAGCUGACUGGGGGUUGCGAGGGGCCUGUGGGAGUGAGUGUUUAACAGAUACGGGGUUCCUUUGGGGGCAAUGGAAACGUCUUAGAACUAGAUAGAGGUGGUGCGU